ensembl:lncRNA
GCCUUCAACUUGAACUAAUUUAUAAAGCAAGCCAUCCAUCAUUCCAGCGAAGCUGUGGGUUCAUUGGUCGGUUAGAGUUCUGUCUUCAUAUCUCAUUGCCAGCAUAUGGUCUAUGGAGGCUGGAGUAAGUUAUUAGGGUGAAUUGCAGAGAUUUAGAUUCAAAAAUCUCUUAGAAAGCCAAGAAAAUAUUUCUGUUUCAAUACAGUUACAGCAAAAAGACACCAAAUGUGGAUCAAUGGGCAAGGAAAAUUGUUGUUUUCCUUGGAGAUGACAAUGAGAAUAACAGGUGUGCUGACUGUCAGCUUUAUCUGGCGAUAGUGUCAUGACUGAUGACAUGAUGGUAUGUGUGACCUUGAAUAUUCUCAGAAUGCACUGAGAGUGAAGGUGUCACUGAUUCGACAUAAGUGGAAAUUCUGGAGAUUUUGCAAAUUGUAAUUAUCCCAGUUAGUCAAGGGCCAUGGUCAGAUAUGUCUCUGAACUAAAAGAAUGUACCAGCUUAGGGACAAGAGGACUUGAUUUUAAUGAACCUUUCUAAGAAUGGCAGGUUCCCAGUCCAACCAGGAAGUUGUCAAAAGUGGAAACAACUGGCAGGAGAGGAGCUUCCCAGGGGCUCAAAAUCUUUUCAUGGAGAAAAAGCCUUUCAUCGUAAGAUGAAACUCAAGAGUGUCAAACGCAAAUGACUCUUGAUCGUCAUCUAAGCUAGAGUGAAGUGGAACCUCUCUGAGGUAGCUUAUUGAGAAUCCUUGAAGGAGAACUAGGAUUACAGUUACUGUUCUUUAGGCUUAAAAUGAGCUUCAAUCAAGAGGAGGAAGGAAAAUUGCUUAAGUCAGACUCGACAGCUAAAGUUUUCAGCUAUUACAAAUAAAGCUGCUGUGAACAUUCAUGUACAAGUUAUGAGAAUGAAAAGACAAGUCAUAGAUGAGAAAAUAAUUAAUUGCAAAACCUGUAUCUGAAAAACAACUUGUAUCCAGAAUAAAUUAAGAGAUGCUCAUAGCUCAAUAAGAGGAAAGCAAACCACCCAGUAAAAAAUGGGAAAAAGAUUUGAACAGACACUUCACAAAAGAAGAUAUAAGGAUAACAAGCAAAUGAAAAAUUGCUCAAUAGGGAACUAUCCAUGGUCAACAGGGAAAACAAAAAUCAAAAUGAGAUAUCACUACGCAUUUAUUAUAAAACAGUUGGAAAGUUUCUUAAGUUAAACACACGCCUGCCAUAUGAUUCAGUUCUACUUCAACAUACUUACUCAAACUGAAUUUUUAUUUCUGAUUAUUUGGCUGUUUCUUUUAUUAGAGUGUUAGUGUAAGAACCUUGCGUUUAGAAACAUUGUUUUUUAAAUUUUAUUUUAUUUUAUCAUAUCUCUCUAUUUCAUGUGCAUAUUUCUACUUUUAAAGCAAAAUAGGCUGGGCACAGUGGCUCACACCUGUAAUCCCAGCACUUUGGGAGGCCCAGGUGGGCAGAUCAUCUGAGGUCAGGAGUUCGAAACCAGCCUGGCUAACAUGGCAAAACUCUGUCUGUAUUAAAAAAAUACGAAAAUUAACCAGGCAUGGUGGUGCGUGACUAUAAUCCUGGCUACUUGGGAGUCUGAGACAGGAGAAUCGCUUGAACACAGGAGGCAGAGUUUGUAGUGAGUCGAGAUUUUGCCACUGCACUCCAGCCUGGGUGACAGAGCAAGGCUCCAUCUCAGGAAAAAAAAAAAAAAAAAAAAAA